AACGUAGGAGACAACCGUUAUCCGGAAUUACUGGGCGUAAAGCGCGUGUAGGCGGUUAUGCAAGUCGGAUGUGAAAGCCCACGGCUCAACCGUGGAGGGUCAUUGGAAACUGGGAGACUUGAGUGCAGAAGAGGAGAGUGGAAUUCCACGUGUAGCGGUGAAAUGCGUAGAGAUGUGGAGGAACACCAGUGGCGAAGGCGACUCUCUGGUCUGUAACUGACGCUGAGGAGCGAAAGCGUGGGGAGCAAACAGG
rnacentral:rRNA from 1 species